GUAUUGCUGAAGAGUCUCAAACUAGGACGAAACAGCUUUCUAGUAC
rnacentral:hammerhead_ribozyme from 1 species